rnacentral:snoRNA from 1 species
UAAAUCGCACAGAUGAUGACUAUUCAAAAAACUACAAAAUAACUUUCGUUCUACUGAGUAUGAUCAAACGAUCGUGUAGAGAAGUUUUAAAACCCUGAAUUGUGCGAUUUA